rnacentral:ncRNA from 2 species
CGAUGAGGUAGAGGUCGCGGUUUUUAAUAGUAGCGUAAGGGAGAUGCAGAGGCAUCUACGAACUUACUUGAAAGGAAAAAUCGCCGAAGUUUGCUCAUUACUCUGUUUGAGCAUGCUGGGGCUGUAUCCGAACAGGAACAGAACUGUCACGUCUGCCUUAACCUGGCAAACGUGUUGUGCUAUCUUCAUG